GCAAACUUGGUCAUUUAGAGGAAGUAAAAGUCGUAACAAGGUUUCCGUAGGUGAACCUGCGGAAGGAUCAUUACCGAGUACCGGAGCCCCUCGGGUUCUUACUCCCACCCUAUGUUGACUUUGAACGUUGCUUUGGCGGACCGGUGGUCUCACCGCUGGCCUAGGCUGGAGAGCGUCCGCCAGAGGAUUUUAAACUCUGUUUAACGGUGAAUUCCGAGUCUUGAUAAAUUGAAUCAAAACUUUCAACAACGGAUCUCUUGGUUCUGGCAUCGAUGAAGAACGCAGC
rnacentral:misc_RNA from 1 species